GUUCGAUCCGGCCUGAUUGGAACGCUGGCGGGAUGCUUUACACAUGCAAGUCGAAUGGCAGCACGGACUUUGGUCUGGUGGCGAGUGGCGAACGGGUGAGUAAUGUAUCGGAACGUGCCUAUAGCGGGGGAUAAUCAUGCGAAAGCGUAGCUAAUACCGCAUACUACCUUCGGGGAAAGUGGGGACCUUCGGGCCUCGCACUAUUAGAGCGGCCGAUAUCGAUUAGCUAGUUGGUGGGGUAACGGCUCACCAAGGCGACGAUCCGUAGCUGGUUUGAGAGGACGACCAGCCACACUUGGGAGAACGAGACACGGCCCAGACUCCUACGGGAGGCAGCAGUGGGGAAUUUUGGACAAUGGGGGAAACCCUGAUCCAGCCAUCCUGGCGUGUGCGAUGAAGGCCUUCGGGUUGCAAAGCACUUUUGGUAGGAGAAUAACGGCACGGAUAAUAAUUCCGCAGAACGAUUGCACCGCAGAAUAAGCACCCGCUAACUACGCCAGCAGCCGCGGUAAUACGUAGGGUGCAAGCGUUAAUCGGAAUUACUGGGCGGAAGCGUGCGCAGGCGGUUCGGAAAGAAAGAUGUGAAAUCCCAGAGCUUAACUUUUGGAACUGCAUUUUUAACUACCGAGCUUAUGUGUCGAGGAGGAACCCGCGUGUAGCAGUGAAAUGCGAGAUGCGAGGAACACCGAUGGCGAAUGCAGCCUCCUUGUAGAGCAACACUGACGCUCAUGCCUGAAAGCGUGGAGCAAACAGGAUUAGAUACCCUGGUAGUCCACGCCCUAAACGAUGUCAACUAGCUGUUGGGGCCUUCGGGCCUUGGUAGCGCAGCUAACGCGUGAAGUUGACCGCCUGGGGAGUACGGUCAAAGAUUAAAACUCAAAGAAUUGACGGGACCGCACAAGCGGUGGAUGAUGUGGAUUAACGGAUGCAACGCGAAAAACCUACCUACCCGAUAUAAUUCGGGAAUCCCGAAGAGAUUUGGGCGUUUCCUGCAAGAGAACCGGAACACAGGUGCUGCAUGGCUGUCGCCGGCUCGUGUCGUGAGAUGUUGGGUUAAGUCCCGCAACGAGCGCAACCUCGUCAUUAGUUGCUGGCGAGUGCACUCUAUCGAGACUGCCGGUGACAAACCGAGGAAGGAUGACGUCGCAGUCCUCGCGGCCCUUAUGGGUAGGGCUUCACACGUCAUACAAUGGUCGGGACAGAGGGUCGCCAACCCGCGAGGGGGAGCCAAUCCCAGAAACCCGAUCGUAGUCCGGAUCGCAGUCUGCAACUCGACUGCGCAGUCGGAAUCGCUAGUAAUGCGGAUCAGCAUGUCGCGGUGAAUACGUGUUCCGGGUCUUGCACACUGCCCGUCACACCAUGGGAGUGGGUUUUACCAGAAGUAGUUAGCCCAACCGUAAGGAGGGCGAUUACCACGGUAGGAUUCAUGUGACUGGGUGAAGUCGUAACAAGGUAA
rnacentral:rRNA from 1 species